rnacentral:rRNA from 1 species
AUGGUCCUUAGAGACAUCAGGGAUUUGUUGCAUUCCAUGGGGAAGGAUAUUAAAACCUAUGGACUUCUGGAGCUGGUUGAUACAAAUGCUUUUCUAGGCGAUGAGUGCAUGGAGGUUAGAGAGGAGAGGGAGGUCGGUGUGGACCAAGAAUAUAUUGAUCUUAUAAACUCUUUAAACAGUGAGCAACUAGCUGGGUUCAAUGACAUAAUGGACCAUAUCAUGAACAAAAGAAGCCAAGUCUUCUUUCUCGAUGCUCCAGGAGGCACUGGGAAGACAUACUUGUUCAAGGCGUUGCUUGCUAAGGUGCGUUCGAUGGGUGAGAUAGCCAUUGCCACUGCUACAUCAGGUAUAGCAGCCUCGAUAUUACCUGGAGGGCGUACUGCACACUCUAGGUUCAAAAUACCCAUUAAACUCACCAACAACAGCGUGUGUGGUUUCACAAAGCAAAGUGGUACGGCGGAAUUGUUGAAAGAGGCGGCCUUGAUAAUUUGGGAUGAAGUUGCCAUGACAAAGCGUCAAGCCGUGGAGGCGCUUGAUAGGUCACUCCAAGACAUAAUGGGAUGUGCUUUGCCAUUUGGGGGGAAGAUUGUCGUUUUUGGUGGAGAUUUUAGGCUGGUCCUUCCAGUGGUUCCAAAAGGGACAAGUGCACAGAUCACCGAUGCUACAAUAUAG